rnacentral:rRNA from 1 species
AUUGAACGCUGGCGGCAGGCCUAACACAUGCAAGUCGAGCGGAUGAAGGGAGCUUGCUCCUGGAUUCAGCGGCGGACGGGUGAGUAAUGCCUAGGAAUCUGCCUGGUAGUGGGGGAUAACGUCCGGAAACGGGCGCUAAUACCGCAUACGUCCUGAGGGAGAAAGUGGGGGAUCUUCGGACCUCACGCUAUCAGAUGAGCCUAGGUCGGAUUAGCUAGUUGGUGGGGUAAAGGCCUACCAAGGCGACGAUCCGUAACUGGUCUGAGAGGAUGAUCAGUCACACUGGAACUGAGACACGGUCCAGACUCCUACGGGAGGCAGCAGUGGGGAAUAUUGGACAAUGGGCGGAAGCCUGGUCCAGCCAUGCCGCGUGUGUGAAGAAGGUCUUCGGAUUGUAAAGCACUUUAAGUUGGGAGGAAGGGCAGUAAGUUAAUACCUUGCUGUUUUGACGUUACCAACAGAAUAAGCACCGGCUAACUUCGUG